AUUGAACGCUGGCGGCAUGCUUUACACAUGCAAGUCGAACGGUAACAGACCGCAAGGUGCUGACGAGUGGCGAACGGGUGAGUAAUGCAUCGGAACGUGCCCAGUCGUGGGGGAUAACGCAGCGAAAGCUGUGCUAAUACCGCAUACGAUCUGUGGAUGAAAGCGGGGGACCGUAAGGCCUCGCGCGAUUGGAGCGGCCGAUGUCAGAUUAGGUAGUUGGUGGGGUAAAGGCCUACCAAGCCGACGAUCUGUAGCUGGUCUGAGAGGACGACCAGCCACACUGGGACUGAGACACGGCCCAGACUCCUACGGGAGGCAGCAGUGGGGAAUUUUGGACAAUGGGCGCAAGCCUGAUCCAGCAAUGCCGCGUGCAGGAAGAAGGCCUUCGGGUUGUAAACUGCUUUUGUACGGAACGAAACGGUCUGGGUUAAUACCCUGGGCUAAUGACGGUACCGUAAGAAUAAGCACCGGCUAACUACGUGCCAGCCGCCGCAGUAA
rnacentral:rRNA from 1 species